GUUUUCACUUUGGCAGGACACAUAUUAAAAUUGGAAUGAAACACUGAAGAACAGCAUGGCUCCUGAAUAAAAAUGUACAAAAAUUGAGUUUUCUUUUGAAUGUGU
rnacentral:snRNA from 1 species